rnacentral:rRNA from 1 species
UACGGAGGGAGCUAGCGUUGUUCGGAAUUACUGGGCGUAAAGCGUGCGUAGACGGUAGCGUAAGUCAGAUGUGAAAGCCCCGGGCUCAACCUGGGAACUGCAUUUGAGACUGCUCUGCUCGGGUGCGGAAGAGGGAAGCGGAAUUUCCGGUGUAGCGGUGAAAUGCGUAGAUAUCGGAAGGAACACCAGUGGCGAAAGCGGCUUCCUGGUCCGACACCGACGUUCAGGCACGAAAGCGUGGGGAGCAAACAGG